GACGAACGCUGGCGGCGUGCCUAAUACAUGCAAGUAGAACGCUGAAGGAGGAGCUUGCUUCUCCGGAUGAGUUGCGAACGGGUGAGUAACGCGUAGGUAACCUGCCUGGUAGCGGGGGAUAACUAUUGGAAACGAUAGCUAAUACCGCAUAAGAGUAGAUGUCGCAUGACAUUUGCUUAAAAGGUGCAACUGCACCACUACCAGAUGGACCUGCGUUGUAUUAGCUAGUUGGUGAGGUAACGGCUCACCAAGGCAACGAUACAUAGCCGACCUGAGAGGGUGGUCGGCCAACCUGGGACUGGGACACGGCCCAGACUCCUACGGGAGGCAGCAGUAGGGAAUCUUCGGCAAUGGACGGAAGUCUGACCGAGCAACGCCGCGUGAGUGAAGAAGGUUUUCGGAUCGUAAAGCUCUGUUGUAAGAGAAGAACGAGUGUGAGAGUGGAAAGUUCACACUGUGACGGUAUCUUACCAGAAAGGGACGGCUAACUACGUG
rnacentral:rRNA from 1 species